rnacentral:rRNA from 1 species
AACCAACCGGGAUUGCCUUAGUAACGGCGAGUGAAGCGGCAAAAGCUCAAAUUUGAAAUCUGGUACCUUCGGUGCCCGAGUUGUAAUUUGGAGAGGGCAACUUUGGGGCCGUUCCUUGUCUAUGUUCCUUGGAACAGGACGUCAUAGAGGGUGAGAAUCCCGUGUGGCGAGGAGUGCGGUUCUUUGUAAAGUGCCUUCGAAGAGUCGAGUUGUUUGGGAAUGCAGCUCUAAGUGGGUGGUAAAUUCCAUCUAAAGCUAAAUAUUGGCGAGAGACCGAUAGCGAACAAGUACAGUGAUGGAAAGAUGAAAAGAACUUUGAAAAGAGAGUGAAAAAGUACGUGAAAUUGUUGAAAGGGAAGGGCAUUUGAUCAGACAUGGUGUAUUGUGCCCUCUGCUCCUUGUGGGUAGGGGAAUCUCGCAUUUCACUGGGCCAGCAUCAGUUUUGGUGGCAGGAUAAAUCCAUAGGAAUGUAGCUUGCCUCGGUAAGUAUUAUAGCCUGUGGGAAUACUGCC